rnacentral:rRNA from 1 species
GGUCAAGCUACAAAGGGCGUACGGUGGAUGCCUUGGCACGAGAAGGCGAUGAAGGACGUGAUAAGCUGCGAUAAGCCUCGGGGAGGUGCAAAUAACUUUUGAUCCGGGGAUUUCCGAAUGGGGCAACCUAGUGCAGGUCAUGCUGCACUACCCUCGGAUGAACACAUAGUCCGAGCGGGGCAAACGGGGGGAACUGAACCAUCUAAGUACCCCUAGGAAGAGAAAGCAACCGCGAUUCCCCUAGUAGUGGCGAACGAACGGGGAACAGCCCAAACUGUCUGUAUGUUAAAGCCAGCACGCGUUGUAUAGGCGGGGUUGUGGGGCGUCAUUUGUCAAGAGUGCUGACUUGGCGGGAAGUUACCAAUCGACACCAUAGUCGAAGUGUUCUGGAAAGUUCUACCAUAGAAGGUGAUAGUCCUGUAGGCGAAAUGGUAGUCGACUUCCCUAUGACGUUCCCGAGUACCACGGGGCACGGGAAACCCUGUGGGAAGCUGGGGAGACCACUCUCCAAGGCUAAAUACUCUCUCGUGACCGAUAGCGCACUAGUACCGGUGAGGGAAAGGUGAAAAGUACUCCGAGAAGGAGAGUGAAAUAGUACCUGAAACCGUACGCUCACAAGCAGUCGGAGGGGGCUUGUCCCCUGACGGCGUGCCUUUUGCAUAAUGAGCCGACGAGUUACUUGUAUGCAGCAAGGUUAAUUCACUCAGUGAAGGAGCCGUAGCGAAAGCGAGUCUGAAUAGGGCGUUCAGUUGCAUGCAGUAGACCCGAAGCCAGGUGAUCUACCCAUGGCCAGGAUGAAACGGGAGUAAAAUCUCGUGGAGGUCCGAACCGCCGAACGUUGAAAAGUUCUCGGAUGAGCUGUGGGUAGGGGUGAAAGGCCAAUCAAACCUGGAGAUAGCUGGUUCUCCCCGAAAUAGCUUUAGGGCUAGCCUCUUGUAAAAGAGUCGUGGAGGUAGAGCACUGGAUCGGCUAGGGGGCUUACCCGCUUACCAAACCGAACCAAACUCCGAAUGCCAUUGACUUGUUGCAAGGGAGUCAGCGUGCGAGGGAUAAACUCCGUACGCGAGAGGGAAACAACCCAGAUCGCCAGCUAAGGUCCCUAAGUGUAAGCUAAGUGAUCAAAAGGAUGUGAGAUUGCUGAGACAGCUAGGAUGUUGGCUUAGAAACAGCCACCAUUUAAAGAGUACGUAAUAGUUCACUAGUCAAGUGAUCUCGCGCCGACAAUGUACCGGGGCUAAGCUUACCACCGAAGCUGCGGACUUCGCACUUCGUUCGCGAAGUGUGGAUUGGUAGGGGAGCGUUCCAUAGUAGGCCGAAGGUGAACCGCAAGGUUCGCUGGACGAGAUGGAAGUGAUUAUGUCGGCAUGAGUAGCGAUAAAGCGGGUGAGAAUCCCGCUCACCGAAAAUCUAAGGUUUCCUGGGCUAGGCUCGUCCUCCUGGGGUUAGUCGGGACCUAAGCUGAGGCCGAAAGGCGUAGGCGAUGGAAAACAGGCUAAAUAUUCCUGUACCACUUACAGAGCGUUCGAGCUAUGGGGUGACGCAGAAGUGAAAGGUCAGCCAGCGACUGGAAAUGCUGGUCUAAGCUCGUAGGGGGGCCAACUAGGUAAAUCCGGAUGGCCGCUAACCCCGAGAAGCGAUGGGGAGCCGUCUAACGGCAUAAACUGACCCUAAUCAUGCUGCCUAGAAAAACCUCUAUGUGAGUUCUGUAGGUGCCCGUACCGCAAACCAACACAGGUAGAUGAGGAGAGUAUCCAAAGGUGCGCGAGUGAACCCUCGUUAAGGAAUUCGGCAAAAUGAUCCCGUAACUUCGGAAGAUGGGAUGCCCUCAGUAGGUGAAGCCCCUCGCGGGUGGAGCCCAAAGGGGCCGCAGAGAAACGGGCUGGGCGACUGUUUACCAAAAACACAGGUCUCUGCUAAGCCGCAAGGCAAUGUAUAGGGACUGACACGUGCCCGGUGCUGGUAAGUUAAGAGGAUUAGUUAGCUCCUUCGGGAGCGAAGCUUUGAAUCGAAGCUCCAGUAAACGGCGGUCGUAACUAUAACGAUCCUAAGGUAGCGAAAUUCCUCGUCGGCUAAAAACCGACCUGCACGAAUCGUGUAACGACUUGGCCGCUGUCUCAACGAGGGACUCGGUGAAAUUGUAGUUCCAGUGAAGAUGCUGGAUACCCGCGGCAGGACAAUAAGACCCCGUGAACCUUUACUAUAGCCUGGCAUUGGACUUUGGCACUGUAUGUGUAGGAUAGGUGGGAGGCUGUGAAACCAGGGCGCCAGUCUUGGUGGAGCCGACCUUGAAAUACCACCCUUACCUUGUUAAAGCUCUAACCUGGGUCCCUUAUCGGGAUUGGGGACAUUGCCAGGUGGGUAGUUUGACUGGGGCGGUCGCCUCCCAAAAG